UUUCUGUUGGUGCGUGUGAGGGAUAAGCUUCACGCGCGAGAGGCAAACAUGCCAGACCAGCAGCUAAGGUGCCUAAACGAUGCUUAGUGGAAAGGAUGUGGAGAUACUUAGACAAUGAGGAUGUUGGCUUAGAGGCAGCCACCAUUUAAACAGUGCGUAAUAGCUGACUCAUCGAGUGUUUCCGCGCCGAAAAUGAUUGGCGAUAAGUGUCGUACCGAAGCUCUGGACGGUGCCUGGAUUCGUCCGGGCAUUGUGGUAGGGGAGCGUUGUAGCGGCCUUGAAGCGGGAGCGAAAGCAACCGUGGAGCUUCUACAAGUGAGAAUGCAGACAUGAGUAGCGAAAAGACUGGUUGAAUUCCAGUCCGCCGUAAACCCAAGGUUUCCUGGGGAAGGUUCGUCCUCCCAGGGUUAGUCGGGACCUAAGUCGAGGCCGAAGGGCGUAGACGAUGGACAGCAGGUUUAAUAUUCCUGCACCGCCGACAUUUAAAUUUGAGGGACGUGUGUGCGGAGAAAGGCUGGGCGUUGAUUGUCCCAGUCCCUGAACGCAAGUUUGGGGGACGUGGAGGCCUCGGCCAAAGCGGAUCUUUUAAAGCAUGCACCGAGAAAAACUCAAAGGAAUACUAAGGCGCCCGUACCGGAAACCGACACAGGUGGGUGGGCAUGAAUGUGCCAAGGCGCGUGAGUGAAACCUCGUUAAGGAACUCGCAAUCUAGCCCCGUAACUUCGGAAGAAGGGGUGCCCACUUUUAGUGGGUCGCAGUGAAAUGGGUGUACCGACUGUUUAUCAAAAACACAGCACUCUGCUAAGUCGUAAGACAACGUAUAGGGUGUGACACGUGACCAAUGCGGAAAGAUUACGGUAAGUGGUUAGCGCAAGCGAAGCUACGAGCCCAAGUCCCCGUGAAUGUCGGCCGUAACUAUAACGGUCCUAAGGUAGCGAAAUUCCUUGUCGGGUAAGUUCCGACCUGCACGAAUCGUGUAACGAGUGCACCGCUGUCUCAACGAGGAGCUCAGCGAAGUUGUAAUGGCGGUGAAGAUGCCGCCUACCCGCAGCAGGACGGAAAGACCCUAUGCACCUUUACUGUACGCUGUUACUGUGUUUUCGAUUUUCAUGCUUAGCGUAAGUGGGAGACUUUGAAGCCAUUCUUUCGGGGAUGGCCGAGUCGUCAAUGAAACACCACCCUUGGAAAUUGGAAACUCUAACCCUCGCCCAUCAACUGGGGAGGGGACACUGGCAGCCGGUCAGUUUUACUGGGGCGGUAUCCUCCCAAAGAGUAACGGAGGAGUACGAAGUUUGGCUCAACCUGGUUGGCAAUCAGGUGACGAGUACAUGGAUAUAAGCCAGACUAACUGUGAGACCUACAAGUCGAGCAGAUGCGAAAGCAGGUCCAAGUGAUCCGGUGGUUGAAAGUGGAAUCGCCAUCGCUCAACGGACAAAAGGUACGCUAGGGAUAACAGGCUGAUCGAGUCCAAGAGCUCAUAUCGACGACUCGGUUUGGCACCUCGAUGUCGGCUCAUCACAUCCUGGGGCUGGAGAAGGUCCCAAGGGUCCGGUCAA
rnacentral:rRNA from 1 species